rnacentral:rRNA from 1 species
GAUGAACGCUGGCGGCGUGCCUAAUACAUGCAAGUCGAGCGAACAGACGAGGAGCUUGCUCCUCUGACGUUAGCGGCGGACGGGUGAGUAACACGUGGAUAACCUACCUAUAAGACUGGGAUAACUUCGGGAAACCGGAGCUAAUACCGGAUAAUAUAUUGAACCGCAUGGUUCAAUAGUGAAGGACGGUUUUGCUGUCACUUAUAGAUGGAUCCGCGCCGCAUUAGCUAGUUGGUAAGGUAACGGCUUACCAAGGCGACGAUGCGUAGCCGACCUGAGAGGGUGAUCGGCCACACUGGAACUGAGACACGGUCCAGACUCCUACGGGAGGCAGCAGUAGGGAACCUUCCGCAAUGGGCGAAAGCCUGACGGAGCAACGCCGCGUGAGUGAUGAAGGUCUUCGGAUCGUAAAACUCUGUUAUUAGGGAAGAACAAAUGUGUAAGUAACUAUGCACGUCUUGACGGUACCUAAUCAGAAAGCCACGGCUAACUACGUG